UCCCCGUUGCCGGGGCAGUCUGAUUAGAGAAAUACAACUAAUCAUAAGGGUUGCGCUCGUUGAUGGACUUAACCAAACAUCUCACGACACGAGCUGACGACGGCCAUGCAACACCUGUCACUGCGCUCCUAAAAGGCACUCUCUUCUUUCGAAGAAAUUCGCAGGAUGUCAAACCUUGGUAAGGUUUUCCGUUUAUCAUCGAAUUAAACCACACGCUCCACCGCUUGUGCGGGCCCCCGUCAAUUCCUUUAUGUUUUAGUCUUGCGACCGUACUCCACAGGCGGGAUGCUUAACGCGUUAGCUUCGCUACUACCCGGGUCGAUACGGAUAACAGCUAGCAUCCAUCGUUUACGGCGUGGACUAC
rnacentral:misc_RNA from 1 species